UACGGGGGGAGCAAGCGUUGUUCGGAUUUACUGGGCGUAAAGGGCGCGUAGGCGGCGCGACAAGUCACUUGUGAAAUCUCUGGGCUCAACCCAGAACGGUCAAGUGAUACUGUCGUGCUAGAGUGCGGAAGGGGCAACUGGAAUUCUUGGUGUAGCGGUGAAAUGCGUAGAUAUCAAGAGGAACACCAGUGGCGAAGGCGAGUCCCUGGACAACUCCUGACACUGAGGCACGAAAGCUAGGGGAGCAAACAGG
rnacentral:rRNA from 1 species